AGACACCAAAUCAGGCGCUCAGACAGUCAAUCACUCAGACACCAAAUCAGGCGCUCAGACAGUCAAUCACUCAGACACCAAAUCAGGCGCUCAGACAGUCAAUCACUCAGACACCAAAUCUGGCACUCAGACAGUCAAUCACUCAGACACCAAAUCAGGAACUCUGAUAUUAAAUCAUGCACUCAGACAGUCAUUCAAACACUAAGUCAGUCACUCAGUCAGACACUAAGUCAGUCACUCAGACAUUCACUCAGUCACUUACUCAGUCACUCAGACACACACACUCACACACUCAGUCACUCAGACACUUACACACACACUCAGUCAGUUCCUCAGACACUCAGUCACUCACUUACACACUCACUUAGUCACUCAUAC